GUUUGUCGGUCUGUCGCUUGUUUCUUUUUGGGAGCAAGAGGAAAGUCCGGGCAACACAGGGCACCAUACUUCCUAACGGGUAGCAGGUCGUGAGGCUUGAGUAGCGUAACAGAAAAGAACCGCCGGGCUUUUGGCCCGGUAAGGGUGAAAAGGUGAGGUAAGAGCUCACCGGAUCCUUUGGCAACAAAGGGUGCCGUACGCCUUAUGGGUUGUAAGGUCAUGUAUAUCGGCGUUGUAGGGCUGCCCGCCCGAUGCCGAGGGGUAGACCGCUUGAGCUUGUUAGAAAUAACAAGAUUAGAUAAAUGGCAGGCGCUUAUGCUUAGACAUAAGUACAGAACCCGGCUUAUAGACAGACU
rnacentral:RNase_P_RNA from 1 species